rnacentral:rRNA from 1 species
AAUCAACGCUGGUGGCGUGCCUAACACAUGCAAGUCGAACGCGAAAGCCCCGCAAGGGGCAAGUAGAGUGGCAAACGGGUGAGUAACACGUGGGUGACCUGCCUUCGAGCGGGGGAUAACGUCCCGAAAGGGACGCUAAUACCGCAUAACAUCCUGCCUUUGAAGAGGUGGAGAUCAAAGCUGGGGAUCGCAAGACCCGGCACUUGAAGAGGGGCCCGCGCCUGAUUAGCUAGUUGGUGGGGAAUGGCCUACCAAGGCAACGAUCAGUAUCCGGCCUGAGAGGGGCGGGACGGGACGACACUGGGACUGAGACACGGCCCAGACUCCUACGGGAGGGCAGCAGUGGGGAAUUGUUCGCAAUGGGCGCAAGCCUGACGACGCAACGCCGCGUGGAGGAUGAAGAUUUUCGGAUCGUAAACUCCUGUCG